GGCUGCGGUCCAUCCAGGGUGGCAGAGAGGAAGCCAGCACGCCCACCGGGCAGGGUCGGGACAGGAAUCCUCUCAGACACGAAAGCCCCAGGCAGCCCGCAGUGGAGCAGGGAUGCAGAGCUGCGGUCAGGCCACCGGUGUCCUCGUCCAUCAAUCGCUAACCAGGUGAGAAUGUGUUCUCUAAACACCUUUAGCAAGAUGACAUAGGGACCGCGGCCUUCGGGCAGAACUGUGUGUGCUUGGAGGUGGCAAGUGGAGGCACAGAUGUGUUUUCUUCUGGGUGAAGGAGUCUCCACACUCCCUCCAUGAUAGUGCCUGGGGCAUGGGCCUCCCUGGCAGAAUAGCUGGCCCCAGCUGGGGACUCUAGGUCUGCUUUAAAAUGCUCUAGGGCUUCUGGAUGUGCUCAAGGAAUGGGCUUAAAUUCAGAGCAGGGAAGAAAAACAAGCCCAUGGACCAAACAAGUCCUGCACCAUUAGAUCAAGGAGACAUUGCUGUGCUGGAAAACAGGAGUCAUUUGUGAGAUAAAUGUACUGCUGGGAGACUUGACCUUGUUCCACCCGCAAUACCGUGUGUGGUUAUUCAUGGGACUUCUUGGGUAAAUCAGCUGAGCUCAGAGCUGCAAAGAGGCUUAUAGGCCUUCCCAUUGAGCAUGAGAAUGAAUGAGUAAGUGGCUGUAGCCAUAAGCUGUCACUGGUACCAACUGAGAUAUGGUGGAUGCUGGGCCCCUGAGGAGUCACAGUCAGUGGGGAGACAAGGAAUGAGGCUGUUGUGCACUGGGCCAGGUGCAAGAGAAUCGCCACCUCUCACUCUACCAAGCCAGGAGUGGGAUGAAUGGGAAGAACACCAGAGGAGAGGGUGCCUCGUGCUGAUUCCCAGGGCAGGUGGAGACAAGGAGAAACAGCCUGUGCCGAGCCCAACACACACAAGCUUGCCUGCCGAGCCCAAUGCAUGCCAGUGUGCAUCCGGGAAUUCUAUCUGCUUUCUGGCCCUCUCCAGGGUUCCUCCGCAUCCUAUGCAUGAUACAUUGACUUGCCUCCUGGCAUCUGUCUCCUUUAAUGACCAUGCCCUUCUCUAGGAGAGAAAGACAGUCUUUCUCAUCUGUUUCUCGGCACCCAGCACGCAGCCAGGUAGAGCGGAUGACCAGUAAGGUGUGGCUGAAUGGACUUGGUGACUACUCGUGUUACUCAGAGAUUAAGGCACAAGCCCACUAAGAAACCUACGCAGGACAGCCUGACGUGGCUCCCCACCAGGGGCUCCCUAUGAGACGCCGCACUGGAUACAGGCUGGUGGACCCCCGCACGUGUGUUCUGUUCUCAAAUGUCUCCUUCACCACGAAUCACCUGCAUCCUCCCACCAGCUCUUUCUCUGCCCCCUUCUGAGGCUCCUUCAGCAGUUGGCUGCUCCGAAUAUUAAAAAUCCAGGCAGGAAUUUGCCCACAAAUCAGAUUUGGGAUUUCCUGAUAGCAGGAGCUGAGCUGGUCAUCUCCGGAUCCCCCAGACCUAGCAUGGAUACUGAAUGGAAUACUUUUAGAAGAUGUGAGUAGCACCUGGUAACAUUGUGAAGUUGAUGAAACUUUUCUGCCAUGCUGUCAUAUCCUGGCAUGAUAGUCUGGGUGCCUGGAAACGAACAAUAGCUAAUGUGGAUACAGUGUGAGCCGGGUGUCUGGUGCUUGGGGCACUAGGCACUUUAACCAAAGCAAUCCUCAUAAAAACCUUACAAGGUAGGAGUUGGUAUUAUCACAGCCUCAAUUCACAGAAGAGGAACCAGAGGGUGGGAAGUUAAGUAACUUGCUCAAGGUCAUACCAUUAAUUAAUAGUGGAGCCCAGGUUCAAACCUAGACAGCUAGGUUCAAUCUGUGUUCCCAGCCACCACAUCUUCCUGCCACUUAAGACGAGGGACUCAAUACAUAUUCACUGAAGGCAAGAAGGAAAAAAAGUAAUUUACAUGAAUGCUAACAAGCUGUGUGUAUUAGGUUCUCCUAAGAAAAAGAAUGUGUGUAUGUAUAGACACAUGCACACACACACACAUCUAUACAUAUACAUGGAGAGAGAGAGAGAAGGCUGAUUUUAAGUAAUUGAGUCAAUUAAAUAAUUGAUUUUAAAUAAUUG
rnacentral:lncRNA from 1 species